UACAGAGGGUGCGAGCGUUAAUCGGAAUUACUGGGCGUAAAGCGUGUGUAGGCGGCAAUGCAAGUCGGGCGUGAAAUCCCACGGCUCAACCGUGGAAGUGCACUCGAAACUGCAUAGCUAGAGUCCUGGAGAGGAAGGUGGAAUGCUUGGUGUAGAGGUGAAAUUCGUAGAUAUCAAGCGGAACACCGGUGGCGAAGGCGGCCUUCUGGACAGUGACUGACGCUGAGACACGAAAGCGUGGGGAGCAAACAGG
rnacentral:rRNA from 1 species